ACGCUCGACACCUACGGGAGGCAGCAGUGGGGAAUAUUGCACAAUGGGGGAAACCCUGAUGCAGCGACGCCGCGUGAGCGAAGAAGUAUCUCGGUAUGUAAAGCUCUAUCAGCAGGGAAGAAGAUGACGGUACCUGACUAAGAAGCACCGGCUAAAUACGUGCCUGCAGCGCGGUAAUCUGAGCGGGCUGGCAAGGC
rnacentral:rRNA from 1 species